rnacentral:rRNA from 1 species
UACGUAGGGGGCAAGCGUUGUCCGGAUUUAUUGGGCGUAAAGAGCGUGUAGGCGGCUAGGUAGGUGGGUUGUGAAAACUGGAGGCUCAACCUUCAGAGGUCGACCGAAACCAUCUGGCUAGAGUCCGGGAGAGGAGAGUGGAAUUCCUGGUGUAGCGGUGAAAUGCGCAGAUAUCAGGAAGAACACCCGUGGCGAAAGCGGCUCUCUGGAACGGUACUGACGCUGAGACGCGAAAGCGUGGGGAGCGAACAGG